AUACCUAUCACUGUAACACUGUGCUUGAGGUCAACUGCUACUCAGCUAGGUGAACAAGCAUGGGUUGAGGGUCUUCUGUAGAAGAGUAUCGACAGAUCAUCUGCACUUAUGAAAGGCGUGAAUUGCCUUUGAAUUUGCCUAAACUACCUCCCUUUACAAGUUUUUCAUCUGUUCUCUGGUAUACAUAAUUAUUUGAAAAGACUUGAUGGAAAUCCCUACCUGGUAUCUGCACACAACGUGGCAUACAACCCCAGAGGAUGCUGUUAAUUCUACAGAACUUGUGGUUUUUAAACAGGCUUCCAGUCUCUCCUUUGAAUCCUUCACGCAUUUUUUGAAUGCUCAUCUGAAGUUAAUCUCCCUGAAUGUACUACUCAUCAUUUCACUCAGUGUUUGUAUUUAUCAUAUUUUGAGGAAGCCCUCCCCAGAACCAGAGAAUACUGAGUGGCAGGGUGGAGAGGCUUGGGAGAGACUUUAAAGAGAAGGACAUCCUCUGUUUCAUGGAACGUUACUCCUGUACAUCUGUAAGAUCCGUUGAAGUAGGAAUCUUUGAUGGAACCUCGGAAGAACUCCAAGGAAAUAACACAUGGUUUAUAUUCUCCUAGCCAGGGAUGUGAAAUAUCUGAUAAUA